UACAAGUUGAAUGUGAAAAAGUGAAACUGCGAACGGCUCAUUACAACAGGUAUAAUUUACCAGUUGUUCGUUUCUAAACGGAUAACUGCGGUAAUUCUGGAGCUAAUACGUGACGAAAACUUCAAUUCCAUUGGAAUUGGGUGCAUUUAUUAGUGCAAAACCAGUCUUUGAACUGUUUGCUUAAUCCGAAUAACCGUUUAUAUCGCAGGUCUUGAACCGGCGAAAAAUCUGUCAAGUAUCUGCCUUAUCAACUGUCGUUGGUGCUGUAUUGGAGUACCAUGGUGUUAACGAGUAACGGAGAAUCAGGGUUUGACUCCGGAGAGGGAGCCUUAGAAACGGCUACCAUGUCUAAGGAUAGCAGCAGGCGCGAAAAUUACCCAAUGUCAAAAGGACGAGGUAGUGACGAGAAAUAACAAGACCGUUCUCUUUGAGGUCGGUCAUUGGAAUGAGUACAAUCCAGACACUUUAACGAGUAUCUACGAGAGGGCAAGUCUGGUGCCAGCAGCCGCGGUAAUUCCAGCUCUCGUAAGGUAUAGAAUUAUUGCUGUGGUUAAAAAGUUCGUAGUUGGAUGGUUAUGUUGACGCGGGGUCCACCGUUUUCGGUUGGUACUCGUUCGUCUUCGAUUUGUGUGUUCUUGUGCGUUGUUCGUUUCGGCGUUCAGCGUGCGCCACACAAGAUUACUUUGAACGGCUCAAGUGCUCAACGCACGUCUUAUGACUGAAUACCGGUGCAUAGAAUAAUGGAACAAGGCUUCGGCCGAGUUAUGCUGGUUUUGUCGGCUGAGGCAAUGGUUAACAGAAACAGCCGGUGGCAUUCGUAUCGUUACGCGAGAGGUGAAAUUCGUGGACCGUAGCGAGACGUACAAAAGCGAAGGCACUUGCCAAGAGUGUUUUCAUUAAUCAAGAACGAAAGUCAGAGGUUCGAAGGCGAUUAGAUACCGCUUUAGUUCUGACCGUAAACGCUGCCAACUGUCGAUCCGCUUGUGGAUUUUAUUCAUGAGCGGGGAGAUUCUCGGAAACGAAAGUUUUUCGGUUCCGGGGGAAGUAUGGUUGCAAAACUGAAACUUAAAGGAAUUGACGGAAGGGCACCACCAGGAGUGGAGCUUGCGGCUUAAUUUGACUCAACACGGGAAAUCUCACCCGGCCAGUACAUUGUAAGGAUUGACAGACUGAUAGCUCUUUCAUGAUUCGGUGAAUGGUGGUGCAUGGCCGUUCUUAGUUCGUGGAUUGAUUUGUCUGGUUUAUUCCGAUAACGAGCGAGACUUUGACUAUUAAAUAGUGCGAUUGUUCGUUUACGCUGCAAUCGAUACACUUCUUAAAAGAAUUUGGGGUUUCCAACCUCAAGAGAUUGAGCAAUAACAGGUCUGUGAUGCCCUUAGAUGUUCGGGGCCGCACGCGUGCUACAAUGAUGGUAACAGCGUGAUUGUCCUUUUCCGAAAGGAAUUGGCAAACAGUUGAGAUAUUAUUAUGGCUGGAAUUGAGAGUUGAAAUUUUCUCUCAUAAACGAGGAAUUCCAAGUAAAUGCGAGUCAUCAACUCGCAUUGAUUACGUCCCUGCCCUUUGUACACACCGCCCGUCGCUGCCCGGAACUGGGUUACCUCGAGAAAACUAGGGAUCGUUACGGUUUAGUAUUUCGGUACUGGCCGCGAUGAGAACGAGUUUAAUCGCGGUGGCCUGAACCGGGCAAAAGUCGUAACAAGGUAGCCGUAG
rnacentral:rRNA from 1 species